CAGCUUGCUGCUUCGCUGACGAGUGGCGGACGGGUGAGUAAUGUCUGGGAAACUGCCUGAUGGAGGGGGAUAACUACUGGAAACGGUGGCUAAUACCGCAUAACGUCGCAAGACCAAAGAGGGGGACCUUCGGGCCUCUUGCCAUCAGAUGUGCCCAGAUGGGAUUAGCUUGUUGGUGAGGUAACGGCUCACCAAGGCGACGAUCCCUAGCUGGUCUGAGAGGAUGACCAGCCACACUGGAACUGAGACACGGUCCAGACUCCUACGGGAGGCAGCAGUGGGGAAUAUUGCACAAUGGGCGCAAGCCUGAUGCAGCCAUGCCGCGUGUAUGAAGAAGGCCUUCGGGUUGUAAAGUACUUUCAGCGGGGAGGAAGGUGUUGUGGUUAAUAACCGCAGCAAUUGACGUUACCCGCAGAAGAAGCACCGGCUAACUCCGUGCCAGCAGCCGCGGUAAUACGGAGGGUGCAAGCGUUAAUCGGAAUUACUGGGCGUAAAGCGCACGCAGGCGGUCUGUCAAGUCGGAUGUGAAAU
rnacentral:rRNA from 1 species